UACAGAGGUCCCAAGCGUUGUUCGGAUUCACUGGGCGUAAAGGGUGCGCAGGUGGGUUUGCAAGUUCGAUGUGAAAGCCCCGGGCUUAACCCGGGAAUGGCAUUGGAUACUGCAGAUCUGGAGGAUCGGAGGGGGGACUGGAAUUCUUGGUGUAGCAGUGAAAUGCGUAGAUAUCGGGAGGAACACCAGUGGCGAAGGCGACUUCCUGGCCUGUUCUUGACGCUGAGGCGCGAAAGCUAGGGUAGCAAACGGG
rnacentral:rRNA from 1 species